GAUGAACGCUGGCGGCGUGCCUAAUACAUGCAAGUCGAGCGAACAGACGAGGAGCUUGCUCCUCUGACGUUAGCGGCGGACGGGUGAGUAACACGUGGAUAACCUACCUAUAAGACUGGGAUAACUUCGGGAAACCGGAGCUAAUACCGGAUAAUAUAUUGAACCGCAUGGUUCAAUAGUGAAAGACGGUUUUGCUGUCACUUAUAGAUGGAUCCGCGCCGCAUUAGCUAGUUGGUAAGGUAACGGUUUACCAAGGCAACGAUGCGUAGCCGACCUGCGAGGGUGAUCGGCCACACUGGAACUGAGACACGGUCCAGACUCCUACGGGAGGCAGCAGUAGGGAAUCUUCCGCAAAGGACGAAAGCCUGACGGAGCAACGCCGCGUGAGUGAUGAAGGUCUUCGGAUCGUAAAACUCUGUUAUUAGGGAAGAACAAAUGUGUAAGUAACUAUGCACGUCUUGACGGUACCUAAUCAGAAAGCCACGGCUAACUACGUG
rnacentral:rRNA from 1 species